AUUUUUUAAUACAACGAAAUUAUUAAAGUAUUUAAAGCCGAACGUAAUUUUAAUAAUCAACUUUGGUAUGAUAAAGUUGAAAGCAUGGAACCACACAUAACCCAACAUCACAUUGUGAUUUUAGAAUUAUAAAUUCGUGUAAACCUUUUAAUCACUACUAUUAUAAAUUGCUGGUAUAUAUUCGUCGCUGGCAAUGUUCCAAAGAAGACUGAAAUUGACAAGACACUCUUCUGUUUUUAAUAGUCUAUCAUAUUGUCGUAGUAUGUGGCUAAUGAACCUACGGUACGUCGAUGGUUUGUAAAAUUCCGAUCUGGAGAUUUUAAUAUCCAAAAUGAACUACGCGGGCAACUUGAGAGCAAGGCUUGAGAUAUAAUAAACCAAACUUUCAGUCUCAAAAUCGGACAUUUCAUACGUACUUUAGUUAUAAAGUUUUAUCUAGUUAUUAACAUCUCACGUGUGUAUCUAAUCUCGAAGCCUAGUAACUGUCUCCACGUCUUCGUCCGCAUACAGACGCUAGGGAAAUCGCGAUAGAGAGAUUCACAAAUAGAACACGCAGCCGCUAAAACUGGUGACCACGACAUGGUAUAUUACCGGUGACUAUUACCGAAUUACGAAUGAUCUCGCGAACUUCCCGUUUGGGUUAAGGUAACCACGUGCAACUUUUUGGACAAAAUGGUCUCCUCGAGCGCGAUCCCACGAGUACUCUGCCCAACGAACAGGGUUCUGCGGCAACCCUGCAGCCGCGUGCGAGGCAGACAGCCAAAUAUGGCGCUGGCUUGCAGAUGUUUCUAGCCUUGUAACUGGGCGCUACUGCACGUAAUCGUCGUCACCUUGGAGAUCUGAAGCUGUACGCCGUCAACGGAUUCAGGAUCAGGACAUGACAGUCGGCUGAUCAAACUGAAUUUGGACUUCCGAAGGCCGUUCAUGUGAUAGUUAAUCAUUUGUGACGUGGCCAGAGCAACCAAUUAUUGACACAGACCUUUUAUUUAAUUUCAGCCUGCUAGUGGACACUGGGAACCGAAGGCUGAUUGAUAGCAAUAUUCUUGUCGGCCGAGCAGCGAGAACGUUCCUCGCUUCCAAUGUCUGACUCAAGAUAUUCCAUUCAGUGAUCUGCUGCAAAAUUGACGCGUACGUCAAUCCUGCCUCGGAAGAUCACUCAUGAAAUCCAACACUUCGUUGAGACCAUAGGACUGCCUAUCACUGCCAAGGCACGAUGACUCAUGCCUGACAAAUUCAAGGCUGCAAAGAAAGAGUUCGACUUUAUAAUUCAGCAAGGAUUGUAUCAUCCUUCGAAGAGCCCUUGAGCAAGUUCACUUCACUUGGUACCAAAAAGGGAUGGGAAGUGGAAACCCUGCGAGCAGGACAUUCCAAAGACGGCAAUCAUUACAUCCUUCAGGUUAUUUGAGUUUCCAUCCAUGACCUUCGGAUUACAAAAUGCUGCACAGACCUUCCAAAGGUUCAUGCACUUGGUUAUCGCCGGACUUGACUUUUGCUACGUCUACUUGGAUGACCUCAUCAUCGCCUUGCCGUCGGAGGUGGAGCAUCGUAGCCAUCUGGAGAUCGUUCUCAAGAGGUUGGAUCUGUAAGGCUUUGUCAUCGACCCUGGCAAGUGCAUUUUUGACAGGUUUUCUUGGCCAUCGUAUCAAAGCCUCAGGACUGACUCCGCAUCCAGCCAAAGUCGAUGCUGUUUGUGACUACACCGAGUCAACCACAGUGAAUGGUAAAUUUUUAUAAUCGUUUCCUCAAGAGAAGAAGUUCACCUGCCUUGUUGUGGACUGAGGAGAGCCACCUUUUCGAGACCAAAACAGGAAUUGUCAGAUACUGUCAUCCUGUCCUUUCCAGAAUCUGCUGCCAAACUGUCGUUGCAGACUGAUGCCUCUGACACCACUAUUGGAGCAGUUCUCCAACAAAAUAUUAAAGGUCAACAUCAACCAUUGAGCUUUUUUUCUAGGAAACUAACCCCCACGCAGCAGAGGUAUUGCACGUACGACCAAGAGCUAUUGGCUGCUUAUGAGGCUAUCAAGCAAUUUCGCCACUCCUCGGAAGGACAAGAAUUUUAUAUCCUCACGGACCACAAACUGCUGAUAUUCACUUUCAACAAGAAGUUGGACCAAUCGUCACUGGGACAAAUUCGACAUUUGGCAUAUGCAGGGUGUCCCAAACAUGUCUCGUAAAACGGAAAUGGAGGAUAGCUGAGGUCAUUCUAAGUAACAUUAUGCUUAGCAAAAAAUUCAAUCUGCGGCUCUGUUUACGAAUUAUCAACGAAAAACACUGACCAAUGAGAGGUAAGGGCACGAACUACAACGUGAUCGAUCGCUCGAGCACAACAUACUUCGACCAUAGAGUUUGACAGAAGAAAGGGGACUCCGUGCCACGUUCAAAUCAAUGAACAAGUCACGGAGCAUGAAUUUUCGAUUUCUUUUUACCACAUGACAGUGAUAAUUUGAAGAAA